rnacentral:rRNA from 1 species
CCUACGGGAGGCAGCAGUGGGGAAUCUUCCGCAAUGGGCGCAAGCCUGACGGAGCAACGCCGCGUGAAUGAAGAAGGUCUUCGGAUCGUAAAGUUCUGUUCUUAGUGAAGAAUAAUGACGGUAGCUAAGGAGCAAGCCACGGCUAACUACGUGCCAGCAGCCGCGGUAAUACGUAGGUGGCAAGCGUUGUCCGGAAUUACUGGGUGUAAAGGGAGCGCAGGCGGGAAGCCAAGUCAGCUGUGAAAACUACGGGCUUAACUUGUAGACUGCAGUUGAAACUGGUUUUCUUGAGUGAAGUAGAGGUUGGCGGAAUUCCGAGUGUAGCGGUGAAAUGCGUAGAUAUUCGGAGGAACACCGGUGGCGAAGGCGGCCAACUGGGCUUUAACUGACGCUGAGGCUCGAAAGUGUGGGGAGCAAACAGGAUUAGAUACCCCUGUAGUC